GGGAAUCACUGCCAUCGAAAUGGCCGAGGGAAAAACACGUAAGUGAAUCACAACAAUUGUGGGUCUCUGUACAUUGUAACCAAGGAAUUAGCUUCAUGUUUGAAGGGACUCAUAUAUAUAUAUGUUUUUAACUUUUAGCAUACGCCGAUCAGAAGCAAGUGUCGGACCUGAUCAUUGCUAACGACUCUCCGAGGCUCAAAUCAAGGACCUGGUGAGUCCUUCCCAGCUCAUGUCACUGUGCGAUGCUGAUACUGCAACUCUAUGUGUCUCUCUCACUUCUCCAUAAAUAUGUGAAAACUAAGCAGAUGACAGCCAGAUAGCAAGAUAGAUAGAUAACUUACAUUUGGCACUUGGCACACAUGCCUCCAAAUCUAUUAACUAUAUAUCCAUUAACUUAAACUUAAUAUGUAUAUUCUGGGCUGUAGCUAGAAGUUACUAGGUAAUACCUCCCUGGAAAUAAUGAUCUGGUUUUCACCUAUAUAGUGUACAACAGAAACCCCACGGGGUUCUCUAUAUAUCUUAUAUCUAUACUCCUGGGACCCCCGUCCCUCCAAACCUUGGGUACCAACUGGCUACAUAGCUCAUAGCUGAACUGAAUUAAACAAGGUUCAUAAAAGAAAUCAAUACCCUGUAUUUAUAGAUAAACACCAUUUAUCAAAGUCAUUCCAUUUAGUGUUGAAGAUUUUUCAGCUCAUGUCUCUCACCUUGGCACUUUUUUUAGGUCUCAACAUUUUGUAUCCUUUUUGGAGUCCUGUCUCCAGAAGGAUCCUUCCCAGAGAUGGAGUGCGGAAGAGCUACUGCAGCACCCAUUCAUUGCUGAACUGCCCCCUACAAAGACCAUCAGGGCUGAAAUUGAGGAGCACCUUCGGGCUGUGCAGAACCGGCCGGCCAAGAGAGGUGAGGGAAUCCGUUAUAUGUAUAAAAAUGGGGUCUGUAGCUGUUCAGUUUUGGUUUUUUUCCUUACUGUGAUUUUAUUUAUCUAUACAGGAUUGAGAGUAGUUCGCUGGGCCAGGAAACAGCUACGGCGGGCCAGGGAACAUCUAGGGCAAGCCAGGGAACAUCUACUGCCUCGCUGGGCCAUGGAAUAUCUAGGGCAAGCCAGGAAACAUCUACGCGGGGCCAUGGAACAUCUACAGCGAGCCUGUGACUUCUGCGCAACUGAAACAUCGCCAGAACAGCAGGUGGCUCAGCAAAUGGCCCUGGAGGGUUUUGCCUGAGUGGCCAAUAACAUCAAGUGCCCAGGAUGAAUCUCCUGAAUAACAUCCAAGGAGAAAGGAACAUCUGCAGAGAAAGAACCAGUGGCAACUACAGCUCCACCAGAACCAUCUCCUUUCAAGCUGCCGUGGAUCAACCAAUGGUGACUUCAAGAUCCCAGCAACUCCACCAGUAGCGUCUUUGCCUCCCUCUAAAGCUCUGGGAAUAUUACAUCCUUUUAAGACCACCACAUCGCCACCAGUGGUGUCUUUCUUUGAGAUUACACAGCUCCACAGCAGUCUCACUUUCCAGCAAUUUCCACCAGUGGCACCUCACUUUCCAACUGUAUAGUUUCCAUCCUCUUCCUCAGACUACCACACCUCUAGCAUCUGCAGCUCCAUCAACACGAUCCUUUGCAGCUAGAACAGGUCCAACAAUAGUGUCUCCUUUUUAAAUUACUGCAACUCCACCAGCAGUCCUUGCAUUCAACAUCUGUAUUUUAAUCUACCAACAGUGGUGCCCAACAUCAGAGCACCUCACCUCAAUCAGCAGCAUUCAAACAAUCAUAGCUUCACCUUAGUUUCCAAUGGCCAUAGCUUCACCCAAGGUCUCUUCAUUCAACUUUAGCUUUCUCUUAUCUUCAGAUACUCCACCCCCAAUAUUUCCUCCUCUUCAAAACAUCUUUUUAUACUUAGCCCCUCAUAUUUCCUGCGGUGCCUCUUCUUCAAAUCAUCUUCAACAAUAUCUUUAAAUUGACAUUUUAGCUUCAAAACACCUUACAGCUCCCACCAAAACUGAUGUCCCUUAAAAUGGUUGUCUCUUCAACUCCCCACAACUUCCUCAGAGGCGCUUCCCUAUUAUAAUUUAUUUAACCCCACUGCUAACUUGCACCCACCGGUAACUCCUCCUUAUUUUAUCUUCUCAUCUUCUAACCCCUCUAUGCACUGGCUUUUCAAAUCACCCCCAUACACACACAGCACCACACACCUUCUGUGCUUCUCUUAGACACAAAUUUCUUUACUUGAAUCCUCAUCUCUCAUUUUUGGACAGUUUCUUCUGUCUAAAUCAUCUUCUUUUCUUCAGUUCCCCACCACCACACAUCAAACUCCCCAUCAAACAGCCAAUCACAUCUUCUCUCUAAUCCCCUCACAUACACACUGACAUAAACCCUUAGUACAAGUUGAUCCAGGGACUUGUCCGAUUGCCCUUUUGGGAGUCAGGAAGGAAUUUUUUCCCCUCUGAGGCAAAUUGGCUCUGGCUUCAGAUGGUGGUUUUUCGCCUUCCUCUGGACCAACUAGCAAAUAGGCAUCUUUCUUUUAGACUUAAACUUAAAAACAUGAGUCCUUUCCAACCUAAAUUAACAGGAAUUAAUCCAAAAUAUAUCAAAAUAAUAUCUAUUUUAUAAAUAAAUAUUUUAAUACAUAUUC